rnacentral:misc_RNA from 1 species
AUUAUAACAAAUUAAAGUUAGAAACUGAAAUGAAAUAAUCACUUUAAUUCAAGAACAAGAGUAAAAAUCCGAAAUGCACCUCACUUUAAUAUUUAUAUGGAUAUUAAAUCCACUAAUAGUUUGAUGCAAUGCACUCAAUUCAUCCAGUAAUCCCUCUGGCCAAUCUCAAAGUAAAGCUCGUGAAUCAUGCAAUUAAAUAGGAUUGACAUUCAUUUUUUAUCCGAUGCCCUCAAUCCAAUUGAAAAAUUAUGCAAUGAAGCAGUUAUAACAUGUCAGCACAUUAUAUGAAAUGACAGAGUAACAGGGGAUGGACAAAUAUAUAAAUGCAGUUAUAAUUACUUCAUUGUAUAAUUUCUCUUAUCUUACACGUCCACGGGCACAACUGGAGCUGUGAAAUUUUUCUAUAAUAAUUUUGGUCUAUUUGAUCUCAAGUAAACAUCAUCUACUUAUGUAUGAUCCAGUGCAUACCUUACACUAGUGGGCUACAAAAAUUUUAUACAGGAAAAUAGAAUUAGUGAGCAA